ensembl:lncRNA
AUGAGUCACACUCCCAAGAACAUGAGAUUGUUUUCAGCAUGCAAUGCAUCAGUGGGUUCCAAUGUUGUUUGGGUCCCAGCGUUCACUGGUAUAUCUUCUUUUGUGUUCAGCAGAAAUCAUACAGGCUUGGAAUGGCAUGAAGGAAUCACCUUUGCUCCCAUAAAGCUUAAUGAAUACGCUAAUCCUGAUAACUAUCAGAAACGGGAGGCCAUUUUCCUGCCAACACAUGUCUUUUUCGGCAUUAUCCAGGGGUUGGAGGAAAGAAAUAGCGAGUGACCGAGAAGAACUGAAGAGAAGCUUUCAUGAAUAAUGAAAUGAGAGGAGGAGAGGGGGCAAUCUUUCAUUCACCGUGCCUUAUUACAUAGAUAAAGUGCCUUUUGAGGUGCAUUCUAAUGCGCCAAUAUAAUGCGAAACAUGAAUGGAGUAAGAGGGAUAAUCGCCAGCUCUUCUUUUCAUGUUCCGGUGGAAGGACAAGCACUGAGUCCCUUUGUUCUCUGGAAUGGCGGGACGCGGUUGAAGAAAAGCGUCUGAUUUUAAGGAUAUGUUUAAUAGACUGUGGGGUAUAGCUGUCAUGUCAGGAGAGCAUCCCUGCAUGCAGUUUAGCAGCGGGGACGUCGCUGUUUUGUCCUUGUUCUACACAGCAAGGCAUCUCGUGUGUUGAAGUUGGAAUCGUUAGACACGGAGCCGAGGGCGGGAGGUUCAGGUUACGUGUUUGGAAUCAGCCUUCUGACUAUGAAUAGAACAAUGACUGGAGAGAGAGAGAUGAGCAAGGGAGGAUGGUUUGCUUUUGUGUGCACAUAUGUGGUGUAUUUAUGCUUAUGGUCCACAGAAAGGGUUCACACCAAGAACAAUAACUAAAAAGAAAACUAGUGUUCACACCAAUGGACGAUAGUGUUCUGUUUAAUCUAAACUUUUUUUGGCGUUUGCCGUUUCCAAUGCUCGAGCUCUUUAAUGUCAAGUACAUUCUAACUGGCUAUCAAUGUUUUUAUUGUUUAUCGCCUGGAAAAAAUGUGAUUGUGUCAAUUCUUCUGUGUCAAUAUCGUCACUGUUGUAGUGUUGACUUACCUGUUCUUGUAGAACAGACCUUAGUGUAACGUCUCGGGUACAAAUAAUGAAGGAGAAAAUCCAAAAAAUGACUCAAAAAACUGAAAAUGUGUAACAAACAAGUCUGAAGUCUGUCCCUCACAGCCUAAUUGUUAUCCAUAUUAAAUUCAAUACGACAUCUAACCUGAUUAAAGUCUAUUUGAAUGAUUGUUAAUGGGUUUAUUGUUAUAGUUAUCAUCUGUGAGCCGUAAGUCUGUUCUAAAACUAUCAAGAAAGCAUUUCUAUGAUCACUUCUAUAAGUUCUAAGAUACCUAAUUGUCGGUAAUUUAAUACCAAAGUAAGAAAACACAAGUAUAGUG